rnacentral:rRNA from 1 species
GUAGGUGGCAAGCGUUGUCCGGAAUUAUUGGGCGUAAAGCGCGCGCAGGCGGUUCUUUAAGUCUGAUGUGAAAGCCCACGGGCUCAACCGUGGAGGGUCAUUGGAAACUGGAGAACUUGAGUACAGAAGAGGAAAGCGGAAUUCCACGUGUAGCGGUGAAAUGCGUAGAGAUGUGGAGGAACACCAGUGGCGAAGGCGGCUUUCUGGUCUGUAACUGACGCUGAGGCGCGAAAGCGUGGGGAGCAAACAGGAUUAGAUACCCUGGUAGUCCACGCCGUAAACGAUGAGUGCUAAGUGUUAGGGGGUUUCCGCCCCUUAGUGCUGCGGCUAACACAUUAAGCACUCCGCCUGGGGAGUACGGCCGCAAAGGCUG